rnacentral:rRNA from 1 species
GAUGAACGCUGGCGGCGUGCUUAACACAUGCAAGUCGAACGAUGAAGCCCAGCUUGCUGGGUGGAUUAGUGGCGAACGGGUGAGUAACACGUGAGUAACCUGCCCUUGACUCUGGGAUAAGCCUGGGAAACUGGGUCUAAUACCGGAUACGACCAUUGCCCGCAUGGGUUGGUGGUGGAAAGCUUUUGUGGUUUUGGAUGGACUCGCGGCCUAUCAGCUUGUUGGUGAGGUAAUGGCUCACCAAGGCGACGACGGGUAGCCGGCCUGAGAGGGUGACCGGCCACACUGGGACUGAGACACGGCCCAGACUCCUACGGGAGGCAGCAGUGGGGAAUAUUGCACAAUGGGCGAAAGCCUGAUGCAGCGACGCCGCGUGAGGGAUGACGGCCUUCGGGUUGUAAACCUCUUUCAGUAGGGAAGAAGCGAGAGUGACGGUACCUGCAGAAGAAGCGUCGGCUAACUACGUG